UACGGGGGGGGUAAGCGUUGUUCGGAAUUACUGGGCGUAAAGGGCUCGUAGGCGGCCAACUAAGUCAUACGUGAAAUCCCUCAGCUCAACUGGGGAACUGCGUGUGAUACUGGAUGGCUUGGAUUUGGGAGAGGGAUGCGGAAUUCCAGGUGUAGCGGUGAAAUGCGUAGAUAUCUGGAGGAACACCGGUGGCGAAGGCGGCAUCCUGGACCAAUAUUGACGCUGAGGAGCGAAAGCUAGGGGAGCAAACGGG
rnacentral:rRNA from 1 species